rnacentral:rRNA from 1 species
ACUCCUGCGGGAGGCAGCAGUGGGGAAUAUUGGACAAUGGGCGCAAGCCUGAUCCAGCCAUGCCGCGUGAGUGAUGAAGGCCCUAGGGUUGUAAAGCUCUUUCACCGGGGAAGAUAAUGACGGUAACCGGAGAAGAAGCCCCGGCUAACUUCGUGCCAGCAGCCGCGGUAAUACGAAGGGGGCUAGCGUUGUUCGGAUUUACUGGGCGUAAAGCGCACGUAGGCGGACUAUUAAGUCAGGGGUGAAAUCCCGGGGCUCAACCCCGGAACUGCCUUUGAUACUGGUAGUCUUGAGUUCGAGAGAGGUGAGUGGAAUUCCGAGUGUAGAGGGGAAAUUCGUAGAUAUUCGGAGGAACACCAGUGGCGAAGGCGGCUCACUGGCUCGAGACUGACGCUGAGGUGCGAAAGCGUGGGGAGCAAACAGGAUUAGAUACCCUUGUAGUCCCAUGA